GGCGUGGCCGGGAAUUCGAUAUAG
rnacentral:siRNA from 1 species